ACCUUUGCAAGAAUGGAGUCGGGAUAAGAAUUGCGGCGCUGGAGAAAGGUGACAAUGACGCUAUUUUCACCAUGAAGAAUGUUACAAGAGAAGACUCAGGCAACUACAGCUGUGUGUACACCAGAGAUAAAUCUGUAACCAGUCAGGUGAAGUCAACAGGAGAGAAUUUACUAGUCUUUCAGGUUGAUGGAGAACGGAAAGAGGGACUAAAUAAUGUUGGAGGACAAGUGGGAGCAGGACUUGGAGCAGGACUGGCAGCAGCCUUGGUCCUCCUGUUUCUGACUCUGUCUGUACUUCUGUUACUGUGGAGGUACUGGGGAAUCCUGAAACUAAUGAUAAGCAUUGACCAUCAACCAAGG